GUUACAUUCACCCCUCAUAUUCUCCUCCUGGUCUCUCUAUCUCGCUCGAUAUCCCUAAAUCCCAUCUUCUCCUUCGUUCUCCUCGGUAACCCACACCAUCGUUGUCGUCUUUAUCCUCUUUGGCCAUUAAGGAACUUUUUAUCGGUCUUACGCAGUCGCAAACCCGCAUUUUCUCAACCCCCAUGUGCGAACACUAACCCACCGAGCUAAGCUGAUUCUCAAACCCGCAUUUCCUCAAGCCCCAUGUGCAAACCCUAACCCACCGAGCUCAGCGGGUUUUUUCGUCUAAGAGAACAAUCAUGGGGAUGGCUCCGGUUUGUUUCAGCUGCUGAGAUGAGGGCGAUGAUGAGUGACUACAAUCUCUGUUGCAGGCCUCAGGCGCGUACGAACGUCAACAACCUUGGUGAGAGAUGCACGGCCGAGAUCUCAGCAAGCGCUCGCUCUCCUCGUGCAGUGAUUCUCGCGAUCUGUUACUUUGUUUGGUACUGGAUCUUUAAUCUAUUUGAUUUAGGGUUUCUUUUGUGUUUUGGGAUCUUUGAUUUGAUGUUUGGUGUGUGAGAAAAGAGAAUGGAUUCCUUGAUCUGUGGCUGUGGUUGUCUCUGUCGCUGUUUCUCCCAAAUCCUAUGGAUUCAACUCCGAUCUUCACAAUAUGGUUCCUAUAUUGUUUGCACUCGUCGUUUCUUCUUCAUUUUUGUUGUUUCAUUUAAUUUGACGUCUAGGAAACUAACCUAAUUUCAUUGGUAGCAGCUCAUGUUGUCAAAGUCGGAAAUUGGAAAGGCGAGUCGAACAUAGCCUAUCCCGGGUAAAGUGCUUAUUUUGUAUUCGUGCUUCCUCAGUUCCCAGAAUGGGCAAAAUCAUAGAGAAGGUUCUCAUUUCCGUGGCUUUCUCGGAGCUCAAAGUUUCUUUUUGGGCAUCUUCUAAUUGUAUAAAGCACAUGGAGUAAACGUAUGAUGGACAUUGUCGAGUCCCUAGACCUUCCACCCCAUUUUUCUCCUUCCAGUUCAUGUUUCUCUUCGAGUCCGGCUAUUGCGGCGAUGCUGUGCUGCGAGCUCUCUCUCUCUCGGGGACAUUGUCGAUCUUGAUGGACGGAUGCUGUAAACGUCUGAUGUGACACAGACAACAUCUAAGAAGAUGAAGCAAGGGUUUCUUAGAUUACUCAGAACGCUAGGAGAUUCCGUGGAAUCGGGAGCUGGUCGAGUUCAAUCGCGGUGGCUCAGGACAGAAGUCCUAAUGUCGAAGGUUACAGAGUUCCAUCCCCGUUUUCUGUCGGGCACUACCCCUCAGAUGUAUAAGAGAUCAAUUGCACACCCUGGUGGAUUCUGAUCUGAGGCUGCAUCGCAGUUCUACUGGAAACAGAAAUGGGGCCAGAAAGUCUGCAGAAGGUUAAGUUAUUUUUUCUUGAGAUGUUGGUAAAUUUUAAAAGUUUACUUUCUGGGUAACUCUUAUGAUGUUGGAGAUGAGUGUCGGUAUCUGCUUUUUGAUUGUUGAUCAUAGAGUUUGGUAAGAGUCUUGAUUUUAACUGUUUGUGUGAUCUCUUAGUUCAUGUGUAUCAUUAUCAUAACCUGAGAAAAAAGAAAUUGAUGCCAUGAUAGAUCUGUGUCAUUACCUUCUGUAUAAUUGACUUUAGCUUUGCUUUGCUUAAGUAUUUUUUCUAAAAAAUAAAAAUAUAUUGCUGGUUGGGUUAAAAAAAUGAAGAUUAAUGUUUUUGAAUUCUGAACUGAUUUGAUGAGAAAUUUUGGAUUAAAUUUACUGUUUUGUUGUCUAUGACGUGUUAAACGUGUAAUUUCAGGUUCUAAAUCUAUAUGAAUUUAGUGUGUUAUUAUCCAUUUGUUUUAUAGGUGGCUUUUCUUUGUGUUCUAAAUCUAUAUGAAUUUAGUGUUACUUUAGUUGCAAUCAUUUUUAAUAUAUGAUUAUGUUCUAGGUACACUUUCUUGCAACAUCCAAAUUGAGAGUGACAUUACUAUCAUAUUUUUCAAUGUGUUUUCAUCAUAUUUUAAAUUCUUGAUUUUAAUUUUCGCAUUACUUCUCUACAACUUAUAUUUUCAAUAAAUUAUUGACCGAGAGUUCGUGGGUGCCCGGACAGGGAGGUUUACCUCUCGGAGUCCAAGAUCUGGCAGUUCUUCUUGGUUACCAGAGACGUUUUAUUGCAACAGCGAAAUUGAUUGGACCUCCAACUUCCCAUUUAGAUUCCAGCUUGUGUUGCUUCUUGGCCAAUGAACACAUUCCAGAAAAAAAGACUAAUUGCUCUCUGAUUUCAAGGACUAUGAAUUACAUAUGGUGUUGAUUGGAUAAAAGUGGAGUUUGAGGAUAAUCAAGUUUAUUUGGAUCUCUCUGAGAUGCUUGAAUCAGCUUUGAAGCUACAACCUGAACAUUGAUAUGAUUCCAUUGUGAAAUUAUAAAUGAAGGGUGAAAAAGAGAAGAAAGAAAUAAUGCCCAAAUUUCUCAAAAUUUUGGGUGGGACUUAUGCUCUUGACAUGUUGGGACUUAUGCUCUUGAUCUGUACAAAUUAAUUUGCUUCUAUUAAUUGGCAACGUCAUCAUGUUGUGUGCAAAAGAAACAGGUCUAUUGAUGUGAAGGAAAUUGAGGUUUGUAAUUUUAAAGGGUGUGUGGUGAGUGGAGAUGGAAGUGUUCCAAAGUUAAAUACUUCUCAUGAGGAUUGGGUUAACAUGGUGAAUGAACUUCAAAUGGGUGCUUUAUUCACUAGGCUGGGAAUUCCAUUAAUUCAUGGAAUUGAUGUUCAUGGCCAUAACACCAGAUAGCCUGGUGAAGAAGCUCUAUGAGGAAGUUAAGGGUGGAACUUUUGUUGUGCUUGAGAUAGUUGAGGAUGGUCCUUGGUGGUACUCUGUUUGUGUGUGUGGUAGAGGUGUUCAGGCAGAAUCUGAAGUUUAUUUCUGUCAAUUCUGCAACAUUCAUGUUACCAAUGUCACACCCAGGUUUAUUUAAUCAGAAUAUUUUCUUUGUUGUUUAUUCGCCUUUGGUUCUUUUUUUAUUAUAUAGUUGUGAGUUGUUAUCAUUUUUUUAUUUUUUCUGCACUAUGAAAAAAUAAAUUACAGGUUUAGAAUGAAGGUGUUGGUUGAGGAUUCCACUGGUAUGUCAAUUUUCGUACUAUUUGAUCAUGAGGCAAGCUAUCUGCUGAAAAAGACUUGUGCUUAGUUGUUUGAACAACAUCUCAAGGAUGUGGAUGUUGUGUUUGGUACACAAUCUCCUAUCUUUCAAGAGAGAGUUGAAAAAGAUGAUGCUCUUCAAAAUUUUUAGUAGGCCUAUUGGAAUGGAUAAGUUCAAAGGUACUUACCCUGUGAGGCGUGUUUGUGAGGAUGCUGCCAUAGUUGGAAUAUUUGAGUUUUUCGGAUCAGAUUUGAGCCCUGAUAAGGUAUACAAUCGAAUUAUAUCCUGUUGUGCAUUUUUACUGAGUUGGUUAUCAGUUUGGCCCUCUUUUGGUUUGUUGAUUAUUGAUAAUGUGCUGAGAUAUAUUGAAUGUAUUUUUUGUGUUGUGCAAGACUGACUUUCUUCCAAGAGGUGAAGGAUCCUUUAAGGGUCCUUCAAAAGUUACCAAAAUAUCCAAUGAUGUGUUGACUCCUUCUAACUGUUCUUAGCUCAUUGCUAUUUCACCUCAAUAUACUCAGAAUCAAGUAAAUGUUGUUGACUUAGUAGCCGAUGAAGAUAUGAAGAUUUCUAUUAUAUAUUUCCCCCCUAAAUCCCCUCCCCCUUUUAAGUUACUGCAAAAUAUUAUUUUGUUUGUGCUAUAAUAGUGUCCUUCUCUUAAAAGAAAGUAUGCUAAUGUUAAAAGAAAGUCUGCUAAUACUAUGAGAGAGAUGUCAAAUGAAGGUGAUCACUCAGAAAAUGCAUGAGAUGAAAUUGUUGAAAGUGAAAGGGAGUAUGUUAUUGGGCUUAGAAAAGGCUGUGCUGAGGAUGAACAAAAGAAAAAGGCUCCCGUGAAGAAGUUGAGAAGUCCUUGAAGAUUGAAUUUGAUGAAUUCAGAUGAGGCUGAUACUAUGAUACUGCAUCUGGACAAGGGGCUAAGUGACAUGGGUCUUCAUGUUAUUUACCUAGAGCUAGUGGUUAGGAUUUAUAUAGGGCUAUAGAUAUGGAUUUUACACACCCUUUUUGUGAACAAUAUAAAAUUUUUUGGUGUGUUCAUGUAAUAGGAAUUGAUAUUUUAAGUUUGGGUUGUACGUUUUUAUUUGUCUUAUUGCUGAUGCAAUGCAUCAAUUGCUAGGAUGUGGGUAUUAAAUCAUUAGCCUGUAGGCAAAGUUAAGAAUGUAGCUCGUUUUUGUGAAAUUCGAUAAAAUGCAGUAGCCUCAUCACUCUA